rnacentral:lncRNA from 1 species
GCAAGUGCCGUUGACAGAAUGCAGGCGGGAAGCUUCAGUUUGGGUAGAGAUGUAGCAUCAAACAUUCACGGAUGUCCAGGGAGCACGGGCACACAGGCUGCUGGCCAGAGGAGGCUGCUCACAGCGCUGCUGGACUCUUUAAGCCCUGAGGUCAUGUGAAAAGAAGUUUGCCCUGUGUCCUUCUGUCUCCUGUUGGCUGUCCACAAAAUGGAGAAGGCGGAAGCAACCUGAGGCGUCCUCUUUGUCUGUAAAGAUAGAGAGUCCAUUGUGGAAGGGGGAGAUACAGGAACUAUAUAGGCGAGGCUCUACCGGACUGCAUCUCUUAUCUCCAGAAUUCUUUUACAGAAAAGAAAAAAAUAAACUUUUAUCUGGCUUAAGCCA